GUUUGGUGACAGGGUUUGCUAAGCUGAUGAGUCAUGGAAAUAGGAUGGCAGUGAAAAUAACAUGUGCCAGGCACCUCACACCCGGAAACAGCAGAUUGUUCUCCAUAGAAGCUGCACCAUUUGCAAUCUCACCAGAAGUGUAAGAAGGUUCCAGUUUUUCCUUCUCCUUGUGGCAAUGGAAAGAACACAAAGAUGAAUCAAGACGCUGAUGUCUGGCUGCUAUGGGUGUGAUGUGAGGAAUCAGCCACAGACCUGGAGCCAGAAGACCUGGGUAGCAAGCCCACUUCAGUCCCUGAGGAGCCUGCAGAGCCACAACUGUCAAGUAGGGACAAGAAUGCACUCUUUGUAGGAUUAAAUAAGCUCAGAAGUAAAAGGAUUUGGAAAAGCACUAUAUAACAGGAGCUAUAUUUAGAGCAUUGAGGCAACAAUUGUUAUGAAGUGUUGAUUGACAAUAUAAAGACUUUAUAAAGCUGUGGUGCCAGAGAUGUCACAGGUUAGGAGAGAAAAGAAGUUGACUGAGAUGCUGUCACAUGGGACUUACUCCAGAUAUUUUCAUUGUGUUAGCUUGUGAUUGAUGUAGUGUAUCAGGGUUGAGUUUGGUUGAUUCCUAUAGGAAACCCAAAUAGUGGCCUAAACAAGAUUUCUCUCUCUCUCUCUUUCUCUCUCUCUCUCUCCUCUCUCUCCCUCUCUUUCUCUCUGUCUCUCUCUCCCUCCCUCCAUCCCCUCCCUCCCUCUGUGAAAGUAGGCAGUCCAGAACUCAUAGGGGAUCCCCACAGCAUGUCAAGAGCCCAGGAUAUUUCCAUCUUUGCUCCAUCAUCCUUACAAGUAGCUCCCUUUAAACAAAAUCAUCUCGUGGUCCAAAAUGGCUGCUAGACCUCCAGCCACCAUAUCUAUAUUCCAGGCAUAUGAAAGGAGGAAGGAGUGAGGAAGAAAGGUGCUAAUGGACAUAUAGUAGCAGUAUUUCAAGGAUGUUUACUGGAAGCUGGCUCCAAGUACUGCUCUUUAUAUCUCAUUUGCCAUUCUUGGCAACAAGAGGCUGUG